GAUGAAGAACGUAGCGAAAUGCGAUAAGUAAUGUGAAUUGCAGAAUUCAGUGAAUCAUCGAAUCUUUGAACGCACAUUGCGCCCGCUAGUAUUCUGGCGGGCAUGCCUGUCCGAGCGUCAGUUCAACCCUCAAGCCCCCGGGCUUGGUGUUGGGGAUCGGCGAGCCUCCGCGCCCGCCGUCCCCUAAAUCUAGUGGCGGUCUCGCUGUAGCUUCCUCUGCGUAGUAGCACACCUCGCACUGGGAAACAGCGCGGCCACGCCGUUAAACCCCCAACUUCUGAACGUUUGACCUCGGAUCAGGUAGGAAUACCCGCUGAACUUAAGCAUAUCAAUAAGCGGAGGA
rnacentral:misc_RNA from 1 species